rnacentral:lncRNA from 1 species
AGGGCAGUCACGUGUCACAGGACCCUGCUUGGCUGGGUUCUACUGCAGGGGGGGUGUUUCUACUCCAACACCUACAGAUGGUCUUCUGGGAAGCACAUGCCCAAAGGGAACUUACUGUUCUACCGGCUCUGCCUUUCCACAACCGUGUCCUCCUGGUCAUUACAGCAACUCAACUGGGAAUACUGGGGUUGAGGACUGUCUCCUGUGUGAUGCAGGAUAUUUCUGCAAUGGGGCUGGACUUUUGUCUCCGACUGGAUUAUGUGAGGCUGGAUUCUACUGUAGUGGAGGAGCCAUUUCCCCUAAACCUCCCAGGACAACCGUCAGUGGAGGGCCAUGUCCACCUGGACAUUACUGUGUGGUGGGGAGCAGCAGCGCCCAGCCGUGCCCUGCAGGGAGUUACAGCCCAUCCUGGAGGAUGAGGCAGUGCUUGUCGUGCCCAGAGGGCUUCUACUGCACCUCCACCUCCUCCAACUACACUGAUUGCCC